rnacentral:lncRNA from 1 species
GCUAAGAAAGGCUGUUAAGACUGACCUUGCACUGGGCACUCUCUGCUUUUCCAGGUGGCGCUGCGGCUGGAGGACGGUGAUGAGACUGCCGAGCCGCCCCCCAGCGGGCGCAGGGACCGGAGGAGGGCCAGUGUGUGUGGCGGUGGUGGUAGUGGCGCAGGGGGUGAGUCCCGGGGCCUGGACCGCAGGCGGAGCCGAAGGCACUCGGUGCAGAGCAUCAAGAGCCCUGUGUCGGCCCCGUCCAGUCCCUGCUCCCCAUCAGCUCCAGGCUUCAAGACCAGUCAAGUGCAAGAUCUCCGUGAAAAGGUUGAGGAGGAGGAGGAGGAAGAAGAGGAACAGCCAGUCACGGAGCCCAAUUCCGAGGAAGAGGCAGAGGACAAUGCCCCCUGUCAGGGCAAGGACAGGUACCGAGGGCUGGACCCUCCCAGGCUCCCACCAAAAGCCUGGAAACUCCUUCCUAAUGGAGAGUUUGCAGCCACCCUUAAGCAUCUCCCUCCCUUCCUCAUUAGCUCCCACUGGUAAACCUUACCUUGUGCAUAGACCCACAGAGUGACUAGUGUGUUAGAAAUAACUUAGCACGUUUUCCCUGGAGAACUGUGACACUGCCUCCCUAACUGUGCUUUAUUGAAGAUGCAUCCCCUGUCCCCUCCCUCACUGGUGCCUUGGCUCACUCAGAUUGGCAGUAACUAACGGGAUGUUCCUCUCUGCUUAGAAAAUCUUAACCCUUUGUGCCCCAUAGGAAGAAAAAUUCUGUGUGUC